UGUUUUUUUAGUUGGGGCUAGUGGAGAGACGACAGAAAAAAUGUAUNUUUGAGUGANANAGAUGAAGGAGAAAGGNUUAAGAGGAAUGAAGGAGGUGAGUAAGAGUUUGGGGUUUNUUUUUUUAAUCUUGAGAAUGAAAAUUAUUAAAAUAAAGCAAGUGUUUCUGAUUUUUUUCAAUUUGGGCUAGAGUAUGGAUGACAGAGAGAAAAUGUUGGAGUGAAAGAGAUGAAAGGGGAAGGGUUGAGAGGAAUGAGAGAGGUGGGUAAGUGUUUGGGGGGUUUCUUUUUUUAUUUUUUUAAUUUUGAGAAUGAAAUUUUUUAAAAUACCCUUAACUUUAAAACUUAGAAUUCAUGAUAUAUAAGGGUAUUUUUGUCUACUGAAACCCGGUACACAUUGCUAAAAUGUACCAAUUGAAAAACAGGCGUACG
rnacentral:lncRNA from 1 species